rnacentral:rRNA from 1 species
UGGGGAAUUUUGGACAAUGGGCGAAAGCCUGAUCCAGCAAUGCCGCGUGUGUGAAGAAGGCCUUCGGGUUGUAAAGCAUUUUUGUCCGGAAAGAAAUCCUUGGCUCUAAUACAGUCGGGGGAUGACGGUACCGGAAGAAUAAGCACCGGCUAACUACGUGCCAGCAGCCGCGGUAAUACGUAGGGUGCAAGCGUUAAUCGGAAUUACUGGGCGUAAAGCGUGCGCAGGCGGUUUGCUAAGACCGAUGUGAAAUCCCCGGGCUCAACCUGGGAACUGCAUUGGUGACUGGCAGGCUAGAGUAUGGCAGAGGGGGGUAGAAUUCCACGUGUAGCAGUGAAAUGCGUAGAGAUGUGGAGGAAUACCGAUGGCGAAGGCAGCCCCCUGGGCCAAUACUGACGCUCAUGCACGAAAGCGUGGGGAGCAAACAGGAUUAGAUACCCUGGUAGUCCACGCCCUAAACGAUGUCAACUAGUUGUUGGGGGAUUCAUUUCCUUAGUAACGUAGCUAACGCGUGAAGUUGACCGCCUGGGGAGUACGGUCG